UCUAUAUCAUUUAAUACAUAUUAUCACGGCCAAAAGCUGUGUGCACCUCCAGACGAUAUUAUGAAUCACAAACGACUUUGUCGGGUUCUGCGACGUCUCUGGUUCUUCCACUUUCACAUCAACCUGAAGUCGACUGAACCGGGCGCUGCCUGCUGCCGGCUGCCCGCUGCCGGGCGAUGGUGCCUCGCGGCAACCGGCGGCAUGACGCAGUUCAUGUACUUCAGCGAGUCAAAGCCAAAGUUCCUUUCCCCCAAUUCCUUCUCAACCAUGGCUCAGAUAACCCCCACAACAGUCUCGUUGUGGAAAUACAAGACACGUCAAAGAACCGACAAGAAACACUUGCGUUAAAGUGUGUGCACACACACACACACACACACACAUACACACACUUGGCACUCGCACGGUCGAGUCUCAUUGGCGGGCCAACGUCUCUGGGCGGGCCAGGCAGAGUAAGGGGAGGAGCUGAGAUUCCUGAUGACGUCAUGAAUACAGACAUUCCAAAUCAGCGCGCUUGAGCCUCCGUUUUUUCAAAGGCGAGCAGAACAGCUAGUGCUCGUUUUACACCAAACGCAAGUUUUAUACACUGGGGGACCAUAGGCAGGCUAGGGGAACUCAUAUUUAUGUUAGAAAACCUCAUAAAGUGAGAUUUUCAUGUCAUGGGACCUUUAACUGUCUUGCAAUCUCCACGAUGGUCCCUCCAACUCCCCUAUGUCACCUUUGCAUUAACUACCCACAAUGCGAACGUUUACCUAUAAAAAUCUAGUUCACCCAUUGUCUCACUGAAUGUAUCCUUGGUAGCUUUGGAGCAUGUGCUUUCCCUAGCCUUUCAUCGUUUUCAAUGGAAAAACUCACGCCACAAACACGCACAAGUUCAUGCUAAUAUACUAAAGAAACACACAGCAAAUUAUUUGUAUACUUACAUGUCCUUCGUCUGCAGGUAUUCCACGCAAAGUUGGAAGGGACCCCACGUUCAGAUAAAGUUUCACAGCUAAUCCUUCCUUGUACUGACCGAAGUUGGAGAAACAGUCAGUCGUAAAGUGGUUAGCGCAGACCAACAGGUUUUUGCCAACUGUAGCCGGGACUUCGCCUUCAAAAAUGAAAUCAAUCCACGUCGCUCUUCCUCUGGGACACGAUGGAGGGAUUUGUGGACGUCCAUACAGCCAAUAACAGAACACCUCUUGUGAAUCCUCGACAUGAUGAAUUCCAAUCGUGAAACACAAGGCCGUGUCCUAUUUAUACUCUGAUUGAAGGGGGUGGGGUCAUAUUCAAAUGAGCGCCCCAUCCUAGGUAGGAACGGGCGCUGAAACGGACUCGCUCGUUUGGUAGCUUGAGGCGGGCUGCUUCCAGAAAUGCGUAUCUUACUCAAAAAAUCAAGUACAGACUUUUUCAAAGUUUCUAUACGUGUGGGAGCACCAUAUACCCACAACAACACCCCAAAUCCCAAGAAAAGUGCUGUUUUCAUAAUAUGUCCCCUUUAAGUUCAUACUGUUAAGUAUUUUAAGAAGCUGCAUUACCCUCACAUAGCCACUAGGAAGCAGGACCGAACAUAUAAGCUGUAAAUACUAUACAUAGCCACAAGGGGAGCAGGACCUUACUGAAGGCUGCAAUAACAGCUCCAUCCACAGAGGGCAGCACCACAGCAACAUGCAUACUUUACCAAAUAAAGUGAGUUAAAAGCAACCCGGGAUUGUACUAUUUUCUUCCAAGAAUGCUGCAAUAAUACUUAUAAAUUUCCAGGGUUCUUCUUUACCACAGUCAUGGUCAUUGAGAGCUGAUGCUGCUCGCUCCAUUCACAGGAGGUCUAAAAAGUCCUUCAGCCAAUUGUCAAUGCUGAAGCAAUUGGGUUUACGUAUCUUCCAAUUUAUCAAAAUAAUUCGCUUCGCUGACAGGAAAGCCAAGGCUAUGAUGCGUUGGGUGACUGUUGAUUCAAUGUUUUCGACUCUACUGCCUAGAUGGCAGGUUAAUGGGCAGAGUGGUAUUCUCACAUUCAAGAAAGAAGACAAAUUAAAAAUAACACAUUUCCAAAAACAUUGUACUGCGGGGCACUGCCACAAUUGAUGCAUCAAUGUUCCUGCCUCUCCGCAACCAUGCCAACACAAAUGAGAGAGGGAAUUGUCCAUUUUCUUUAAUCUGCUUGGUGUUAUAUAAGCCCUGUGUCAAAUUUUUAAUUGAAGAAUUUUAUAUUUUACACAUUUGGAUAGGGUUAUAGUGUUUUUUGUUACAGUAUCCCACUGUGCAUUACUCAAGGAUAUGCCCAAGUCCUGCUCCCAUUUGUGUUGAAUAGAGGAUAGGUUAUCAACGGAUGCAGUGGUCAACAACUCAUUCAACCUUGACACUGUUCUCUUUUCUGAUGCAAUCUCCCUAAAUUUUAUAUCCAAGUCUUUAUUCUGGAUCUCUACUGUGGGUUUUUUUUAAAUAAGUAACCCCAAAAUAGAUUUUAAUUGUAAAUACGCAAAAAAGUCGACAUCUUUUAAAACAUAUUGUGUUUUUAAGACAUUAAAGGGUACCAUAUAUCCAUCCUUCACUAUCUGACCCACUUGGUUUAUUCCUCUUUGUUGCCACGAUUUGUUUGUUAAUGUUUUACCACCAGCUUUUAAUUUUUCGGUGUGUUUUGGGCCAUUUAAAUCAAAAAUAUCCUCAAUGGGAGUCUUAAUGUUGAUUCCUAGAUAUCUCAUACCUUGUGGCUUCCAUUGAAUGGGGGCUGAACCCAGAUGUGAAGGAAAGGUCAUAGUAUUUAAACGGAUGGCUUCACUCUUAUUAAAAUUCACCUUAUACCCUGAAAACUUCCCAAAUAGCUCAAUUAAUUUCAUCACUUGCGGGAUUGACUGAUGUGGUUGUGAUAAUGUUAAUAACAAAUCAUCCGCAAAUAGAUUAGCUUUAAAAUCAUGACCCCAAAUCUGGAUACCAGUGAUUUUCCUCUCAGCUCGGAUAGCACAUACUUACGGUGGCCGAGAAGGGCAAAACACAAAAACAAACUCGGGAACAUUUUUACAUUUUGUAAAGGCACCCAGUGCAACUUUCGAGGCUUAAAAAUAAACAUUCAAUUUCUAGUCUUUUUUACACGUAGUAAGUUUCAAUAACUCCAUACCAUUACAUACCGACAUUCAAGCAGCAAAGAUGAGACGUCGUUGUGUGGUGAGAACUGAUAGAAAAUCGAUAACAACAAUGCCGCCAUUUUCUUUAUUUUUUGUAACCUACAAUAAAUAAAGCAGGCUUCCAGUCAAUGGAAAAAUGGCUUCUCCCCACCGGCGAUUGUUGUUGUUUACGAUUUUCUAUCAGUUCUCACCACACAACGACGUCUCAUCUUUGCUCCUUGAAUGUCGAUAUGUAAUGGUAUGGAGUUAUUGAAACUUACUACGUGUAAAAAAGACUACAAAUUGAAUGUUUAUUUUUCAUUGAAUGUUUACAUAAAGUUGCACUGGGUGCCUUUAACAAGUUUCGAAACACUUUUACAAGUUUUUUACGAAAAUUACAUUUUAGAAAAAACUUUUGCAAGUUCCGGAACAAAAUAACAUCUUAGAAAACAUUUUUGCAAGUUCAAAAAAACAUUUUUGCAAGUUCAAAAAAACAUUUUUGCAAGUUCAUUUUUCUUACGGAAAGGGAAUGUCCAAGCUCCGAUGUUGACCCGGAAGUGAUAACGAAAGCGCUCGAAUUCAAGUUCAUUCAUAGCGAUUCAAGAUGGACAGCGGUAGAGCAGCGUUUUGUCCGUUCUGUGGCCAACACAUGAGACGAUUAACACGGUUUUGUUUUUCGUGCGGCAGGUCUUUAGAGUGUUUAAAUCGCGCUGACCAGACGGAAGGACUAGAUGUGCUGCAGCAGUGCACACUCUAUUUUCAUGAGGGACACUCAUACGCUGCGAUCGUAAAAGUAAAAGUACAAUUUAUUUAUAAGGCACAUUUAAAAACAGUUUUCACUGGCCAAAGUGCCGUACAUGAUGCAAAGAGGCAUAUAAAGGAACACAUACCACAUACAUAGACAUAGAUAAAAACAUAUAAAAUAAACGAGAUAUCACAAAAGGGGAGGAAACGCCAGGGAGAAAAGGUGUGAUCGUGGACAUGAUGUCGUGUUUACAUGAUGUACAGAUCAGUUUGAGGUCUCUGAAAGGCAAACUUAAUGACGCCGGGUUAUACCGCAGAAGGAAUUUCUCCUCUAGAGACGCAGUAAUUAGGACAAUACGUCUGGAACUUCGCGGACCUGGACGGCUGUUUGGCUACCGCACGAUGUGGCAGGUACUCAAACAAAAGUACAAGUUGCAAGUGAGGAGGGAUCUUGUAAUGACUUUGCUCCGGGAGCUCAAUCCUCAAGGGUGCGAGAGGAGAACACGCAGAAGGUUCGUAAGGAGAACCUACCACUCCAUGGGACCCAACUAUGUAUGGCACGCGGAUGGCUAUGAUAAACUCAAGCCAUUCGGUUUGGCUCUUUCCGGGUGCAUCGAUGGGUUUUCACGCAAAGUACUGUGGCUUGUUUGUGGACCAACGAAUAAUGACCCAACAGUGAUCGCUCACUAUUACGGGACCAUGGCCGCAAUUCAGUGUACCCUACGCCACCACCACAAUGACUACUACUCUGGAGCGUCCAGCCACAUGUAUGGGUCAUCCACAAGUAACCAGAGGAUUGAGUCCUGGUGGUCCAUAUUCAGAAAGGGAAGGUCUCAGUUCUGGAUGGAGUUAUUUGCGGACCUUAGAGAUGCCGGACACUUUAACGGGAGUCAAGAGCAUCAGCGUCUACUGCGAUAUUGCUUCGGUGAGGUCAUUCAGAGGGACUUGGAUGAGUGUGUGAGACUGUGGAACAGUCACAGGAUUCGUCCCUCCAGAACAGCAUCAUGUCCAGGAGGAUUGCCUAAUGAGCUCUACUACUUGCCACACAGGUUUGGCUCCAGAGACUGUGGAUUUAAAAUUUAAGAAACUGAACUGGAUGCCUUUCCUGAGGCUCAGCUGACAAGAGCUCCAUGUGGGGACCCAAACAUGCAGGAGUACUUAGACUUAGCCAUGGAGCAAAAUAAUUUACAGAAGCCAGAUCACUGGCAGUCUUCAACUGAACUGUAUCUUAGACUAAAAUAAAUUGCUCAGCUCUGAAUUGAUUACAGGUUUAUUGUAAAUGUACACAAAGUGUCUGAAUUUGACACCCAGUUUCAAUUUUCCAAAGUGGCAAUUAAACAAAUAAGAAUGCUAAUCGUUUUAGAUCCAUUAUUUUUCAUGUUAACUGAAAAAAAAACACAUUAAACUAGUCUGGGAUCUAGGGUUAGGUUGUGAAGUCAAAAACAGCCAACUCCUGGACUAUUUUGCAUUCCAAAGUCCAUUUGUGUCUUAAACACUCCGUAAGAAUCUAGGAGUGGUAGUUUUAAGACAUUUCCACAAGUGUUUGCCAUUGGAAAUGGCGAGUUAUCUAGGAACUCUAAUUGUGGAAGUGGGUCUAAGCCAGCUGGGGGAAGGGAUCUCAGUCCAGUUGAAAACAUCAACACGUCCUCCACAGACACAGCAGCCUCUCCUUCUGCCAAGAAAUAAAUGUUCAGACACACCAUGGUAUGUGGUUUUUCAAGUAGUUACAAAAAGCCUUACAAACCUUCACAAUCCAGAAGAUAGUCUGCCCAGUAGGCCAAUGUUUGGUUUUCUUUCAGUCUUCUGUUACUUCCUGAAGGACUGAGAUCAGGUUUGAAGACCCUCUCAAGGUCUAAGCCAGGGAGUUUCUUGUCGACGUGGCACAGGACAGGGGUCAGCAAAGCAGGGUGUUGCUUCAGUGCACCAAGAAACUCAAGGGCUGACAGACCAUCUUUGAAUCUGCAAAGUGAACACCAACACUGUUUCAAUGCUGUGUAGUGCCUACUGCAUUUAAAUUAUCUAAAGAAAACUUAAGGGUUCUCUCCCCGACAAUUACAAUCCACCUAAACAAAUGUACAUCUGGUGAAAAUAGUUGUGUGUAAACCAAUUACUUUGAUUUGCACAUGUCAAGGUGUUACAAACUGCUAAAUAUCACAUGGAGGAAUGCCACAGAGGACAGGGUAUAACAGAUACACAUGCCAUGAGACACUUCAAACAAACAUUUCAUACAUAAAACUGAUCUGAUCUUACCUGUCAAUUACAGAGGAAUUGCGGUCAAUGACAUGCCAAUGGAGGUAGUCUGCCACAAUCUCUUUUUUUUGUUCGACAGCAGCCACAUGUCUAAGACAGCCAGCUGUCUGCAACAUUGUGCUGUGUCUUAAAAUACUGUCUCGCAGAUCAUCCAAUGACGCAGCAUUCUCAAUCUGAAAGACAUAAAGAGGCAUAACCACCACAGUAGAUAACUGGAUAUACUAUCUUUUCCCAUUUUUUUCAGUGACAGAAACAGCAUGCUGUAACCCUUACCUUACCCUAUCAAAAACUACAUUACAUAUACUACAAUACAUUCUGUAUGCUUAUCCUGUAACGGAAGUAAACAUGGUCUUAAAACACUUAGACUUAUGCUAUUCUCACCUCUCGUAAAGCUUUCCCUAUCUCAUCAUCAGUUAUUAAAUUAACUGAUGGUUUGAAUGAGGGCUGGCCCGCAAGAUACUGAACAAGACCCUCUGACAGGAAAUGGGGUCCUGGACCUCCAUGUACUAUUGAGACUGCGACCAUCUUUCCUGCCAGGAAGUACUCAUCCUCCCUAACGGCUGUGAAUGAAUUCAUAUUGCAAAAUGAAAACAUGAAAUGCAUUAUAUUCUUUAAGACAGAGGAAAAAUGUAAAUGUUUGAUGAUCAUUAACCAACCAUUAGCACAGCACACUAAUAACCCUAUGCAUACCAUUCGCAUCGAAGACCAAGAACUUAUGACCUUCUGGACCAUCAAAAAUAGGCCGGUCUUUCAGGAGUUUCAUGAGAAGGGUCAAAAACUCCCUUCUAGGUCCACCGGUGUCAAUGCCCUCCUCAAAAACUCCAGCAUCAUCUGUGAACCUGACCAGCAUGUCACAGGCUUCUGAGUACGUUGAACGCUUGAAUCCUCUGACAGCUCCGUCCCAAAUAUUGGACCUCGAAAUGUUGAACCUGCUGACCUUCUUGUGGUCGAUCAGAAGCGACAGGUUUGCUAUAAUCAAUGGAAGUGUAGUGCCUAUCUCCUCCCUGUAAUGACCAAAAGUGAUUUAAUUAAUCAAUAUCAAAUACAGUGCACACUUUUACAACAAUUAUUUAAAUACCAGCAAUAUUGUACAAUGGAAAAACUGGAAUGCCACUCAAAAAGCUAAUUUUACACUGCUGUGUCUUGGAAAUUCUCCACACUGACUACUGCAACCAGCUCCUCAUCUUCAACACCUGGUGAAUACAGGUCUGUGUAUUUUCUGUUGGGAAAUUACAAUAACAUGUUUAAAAUCUUACCAACACAACAUUUCUUCCCCAUGAAUUAAAUUGAAAGUAUGCGAGUCACUAUCAUCUUUUUGUUUUACCUGUAGCAAGUCUCGUCUGACUGAGUUGGAUCCAUGUCCUCAGCAUCUGAUAUGACCACAGUCGGAACCAUUCCCGAAGGUCCUGGUUCAUCUCUAAAACAUGAUAAAAAAAAGAAGUACUAAAAUUAUUACUGGACUGCAAAAACCUGCUACGUGUGGGGAGGACGGCUGAAAAGAUCAUUGGAGUCGCUCUCCCCUGCGUCUCAGACGUCUACACCACAAGCUGCAUCCGCAAGGCAACCAGAAUCGUGGAAGACCCCACCCACCCCUCACAAACAUUUCUCAACUCUGAUCUGGCAGAAGGUACCGUAACAUACGGUCUGUCACUACCAGACUACAACAGCUUCUUCCCCCAGGACAUACGACUCAGGGACUGAUCUGAUCACCUCUGUUGUAUAGUGUCCUGCUUCACUGUUUUUGUAUAUUGUUGAUACACUAUUGCACCUCAUGUAAGUAAUAAUACAGUCACUUAAGUAUUUGCACUGAAAACUUCUUGGGAAACGUUAUUUCACUGUACUGUGUAUGUAAUGACAAACCCUCUUGAAUCUUGAAUCACAUGAAUGAAUAUUGUUCUUCAGGCCUACAAUAGUCAUCUAAGAAUGUGAAUGAAUACAAUACAGGCAAGAUUCUGAUUGGUUGAUAACCACAAGAAAAUUUAAAAAAUUUGACUGACAAAGACUAGAUGCCAAAAUGUACCAACCUUUCAUCUCUAGGUUUAGGUCUGGGUACUUUGGUUUUGGGGUUCAAAAACCUGAGGGGACAGGCACACAUUUAUCAACAAUUUGUAAUAACUUCCAUAACUGUUCCCUUACCACAUAAAUUGUGUGUGUGUAUCAGUGGCGGCUGGUGGUUUUUAAAGUGAGGGAGGAAGGACUGCGCGCUUGGUUGCCAUUGGCCUGCUUGCACUGUUGGUGUAUGGUGGCAUAAGAAUGUGAGACUCAAGUUGUUUCAAGGUGUUUUGGUGAACUACAAAAUAGCAGGGAGGGAGUUAUGUGAAUACAAUUUAUACAAAGCCACCAGUGGCAUCACUGUAAUUUGAGAAGGAAAGGAUGCAAAGCAUAUUAGUCAAAUCAGGCCUACUAUUGAUUUGUAAAAGUAAAUAAAAAAAUCUGGGCCUAUCAUUGGGCCUAGAUCUCGACGGGUGUCAAGAUCACGUUGGUGCUCACCAACGUGAUCUUGACACUUGUCGUGGCGUUUGGUUGCCCUAUCAAGAUUUUCCACAUCAGUGAAACCAUGAACAGCCCACGUUGGAGAUUUGCUAUUAUUCAUAAGCAAACAGGGCCAGCAAUAAAGUCGAUUGCUUGUAAUGCUACCAGUAAGCCAUGCGUACCUAGCAAACCAUGUAGCCCUCACAACAAUGACGUUGCCAUUACUUCUGGUCACCUUGAUUUUGGGAAGUGGUCUACCUCUUUCUUUGGUCGCUAACUUAGCACUGUAACUCAAUGAAUGGAAUGCUUUUUUUAAUAAGACGUUAACAAUGUCCUCCGUUUCCAAUGUUUCCAUUGUACAUUUAGGAUCUCGCUAUCGCAGAUUUCACUUGCUCUGCGUCUCUGACUGAGCACCGCGGCAAUGCAUGCAGACCGGGUUUGUUAUCGACAGCGUUGCCAGAUUGGGCAGAUUUCCCGCCGAAUGAUAAUUUUUCCAGCCUAACAUGGUUAAAAGUAGCCCAAUUGGGUGGGAAAUCUGACCAAUCUGGCAACGCUGCUCAACAUCCAGGGAUCCUGCUUAUUGGUUCAUAAGGCAGACGGAUAGAUUUUUGCGCGAAUCAGACCCCUUAAGGUCCCACCCACUCAGAGGAGGACUUUCCUCCUCUCUCCCAUUGAAACCCAUGUUAUCCACCGGCCGCCAGUACUUUCGGGGAAAUGAAUGGGAGUCAACGGAGGGCGACGGAGGACCUUCCUCCCUGAAGUAAUUGUCAAUAAGCGAUAGGGGGUGCUAAUGUCCCUUUACCCAGGGAAACGAACAUUAUAUAUUCAAAGGCAAUAAAGUAGUCAUAUUUAAGGGCAUUAAUUCAUUACAAUAGUCUGGGCAUCUACAUUUUUUAUUCUCAACAAUGUUAGGGAGGAUCUUCCUCCCUCUCCUCAAUGGAGAAGCCUCCACUGGUGUGUAUGUAUGUGUACGCUAUAUACAGUAUAAAUAUCAAUGGUGAAAGGUUGUCAGUAUUGUCAUAGAUAAAUCAAUAAACACAUUUGUAUGUAAUUAAGUAAAAUAAAUAAUUAUGAUGUACCACUGUGUCAGCUCGAUUAAAUUCGACUGUGCUCCUUGAUGGGAUGUCAAUUUCAGAAUCCGACUGAAGUAUCAUCCGCUACUGUAAAAACACAAGACAGAUCAUGUAGAUACUGUAGAUUAUCAGUAGAGUAUCCAAAAUAUGUGAAAAAAUAUUGAAUCAUGAUAUGAGAUCCACUAACCUCCUUUAAAAUCAGUUUCAAGGCAAAUGAAGAGGGUGAUCCUGCCAUAUGGCCUUCCAAGCUC